rnacentral:rRNA from 1 species
AGAGUUUGAUCAUGGCUCAGGAUGAACGCUGGCGGCGUGCCUAACACAUGCAAGUCGAGCGAUUCUCUUCGGAGAAGAGCGGCGGACGGGUGAGUAACGCGUGGGUAACCUGCCCUGUACACACGGAUAACAUACCGAAAGGUAUGCUAAUACGAGAUAAUAUGCUUUUAUCGCAUGGUAGAAGUAUCAAAGCUUUUGCGGUACAGGAUGGACCCGCGUCUGAUUAGCUAGUUGGUAAGGUAACGGCUUACCAAGGCGACGAUCAGUAGCCGACCUGAGAGGGUGAUCGGCCACAUUGGAACUGAGACACGGUCCAAACUCCUACGGGAGGCAGCA